AGCUACACACUCGGUUGAUAUAUUAUCGAAUAUAUAUUUUAAAAACUACCUGAGGAAUGAUUAUAAAAAACGUUUGACAUGUUUCUGUGGACAUUAUGAAGAAUUUCCGCCUGCGUUGUCGUGACCGCUCUUUCCUGUGGAUUUCUGACCAUAACGCGACAAACAAACGGUAUAAAAAAAUCACCUUUAUGGAACAAAAGGAACAUUUGCUGUGUAACUGGGAGUCUCGUGAGUGAAAACAUCCGAAGAUCAUCAAAGGCCGGUGGUUCCUGGUACUCUAGCUGAAGCCGUACCCCACGACACACCUCCACCCCCAUGGACAUUGAGGCGUACGCUGUCAGAACCCUACUGGACUCCUGAUGUUGUGGGGGUCAGCUCCAGUAUCGGGUGGACUGGGGGGGUAUGGCCCAGAGGAGCGGUAUUGGGUUCCAGUGGAGGACAUUCUGGACUCCAACAUCUGUGAUUUCCACCUUUGCCCACAGACCCGCUCCUCGGGGUCAUCCCCCUGGUCGGCGUCAUCCUGUGGCUGGAGCCGCACACCAGGGGGGGUGCUGUCACGUCUGCUCCUCCCCUCCAGCGUAUGACGUCGCCACAGUACUAACCACCGGUCCUGGGAUUCAUAAUUACGCACACCUGGCACUCAUUACACGCACUUGUUCAUCAUUGAUUCACACCUGGACUCCAUUACCUUCAUCCCCUACGCUUUAUAUGUCACUCUCCCAUGUUCACUCAACAGUUGGUAUUGUUCUUGUGUAUCAGCGUUUUGCCUUAUGUUAGUGUUGUGUUCUAGGUUUUAUUAAAACAUUUCACCUGCUUCCGA